UUCCUGGUGGUCCAAUGGUUAAGACUCUGUGCUUCCACUGCAGGGGGCACAGGUUCGAUCCCUAGUCAGGGAA
rnacentral:tRNA from 1 species